rnacentral:rRNA from 1 species
GGGUUGUGAGGUUAAGCGACUAAGCGUACACGGUGGAUGCCCUGGCAGUCAGAGGCGAUGAAGGNNUCGUCACACUAUCAUUAACUGAAUCCAUAGGUUAAUGAGGCGAACCGGGGGAACUGAAACAUCUAAGUACCCCGAGGAAAAGAAAUCAACCGAGAUUCCCCCAGUAGCGGCGAGCGAACGGGGAGGAGCCCAGAGCCUGAAUCAGCAUGUGUGUUAGUGGAAGCGUCUGGAAAGGCGCGCGAUACAGGGUGACAGCCCCGUACACAAAAGCGCAUGUGCUGUGAGCUCGAUGAGUAGGGCGGGACACGUGGUAUCCUGUCUGAAUAUGGGGGGACCAUCCUCCAAGGCUAAAUACUCCUGACUGACCGAUAGUGAACCAGUACCGUGAGGGAAAGGCGAAAAGAACCCCGGCGAGGGGAGUGAAAAAGAACCUGAAACCGUGUACGUACAAGCAGUGGGAGCACAGGUUUACCUGUGUGACUGCGUACCUUUUGUAUAAUGGGUCAGCGACUUAUAUUCUGUAGCAAGGUUAACCGAAUAGGGGAGCCGGAGGGAAACCGAGUCUUAAUUGGGCGUUAAGUUGCAGGGUAUAGACCCGAAACCCGGUGAUCUAGCCAUGGGCAGGUUGAAGGUUGGGUAACACUAACUGGAGGACCGAACCGACUAAUGUUGAAAAAUUAGCGGAUGACCUGUGGCUGGGGGUGAAAGGCCAAUCAAACCGGGAGAUAGCUGGUUCUCCCCGAAAGCUAUUUAGGUAGCGCCUCGUGAAUUCAUCUCCGGGGGUAGAGCACUGUUUCGGCUAGGGGGCCAUCCCGGCUUACCAACCCGAUGCAAACUGCGAAUACCGGAGAAUGUUAUCACGGGAGACACACGGCGGGUGCUAACGUCCGUCGUGAAGAGGGAAACAACCCAGACCGCCAGCUAAGGUCCCAAAGUCAUGGUUAAGUGGGAAACGAUGUGGGAAGGCCCAGACAGCCAGGAUGUUGGCUUAGAAGCAGCCAUCAUUUAAAGAAAGCGUAAUAGCUCACUGGUCGAGUCGGCCUGCGCGGAAGAUGUAACGGGGCUAAACCAUGCACCGAAGCUGCGGCAGCGANNGUUGGGUAGGGGAGCGUUCUGUAAGCCUGUGAAGGUGGCCUGUGAGGGUUGCUGGAGGUAUCAGAAGUGCGAAUGCUGACAUAAGUAACGAUAAAGCGGGUGAAAAGCCCGCUCGCCGGAAGACCAAGGGUUCCUGUCCAACGUUAAUCGGGGCAGGGUGAGUCGACCCCUAAGGCGAGGCCGAAAGGCGUAGUCGAUGGGAAACAGGUUAAUAUUCCUGUACUUGGUGUUACUGCGAAGGGGGGACGGAGAAGGCUAUGUUGGCCGGGCGACGGUUGUCCCGGUUUAAGCGUGUAGGUGUGUGUUCCAGGUAAAUCCGGUUCACUUUAACACUGAGGCGUGAUGACGAGGCACUACGGUGCUGAAGCAACAAAUGCCCUGCUUCCAGGAAAAGCCUCUAAGCAUCAGGUAACAUCAAAUCGUACCCCAAACCGACACAGGUGGUCAGGUAGAGAAUACCAAGGCGCUUGAGAGAACUCGGGUGAAGGAACUAGGCAAAAUGGUGCCGUAACUUCGGGAGAAGGCACGCUGACACGUAGGUGAAGUGAUUUACUCAUGGAGCUGAAGUCAGUCGAAGAUACCAGCUGGCUGCAACUGUUUAUUAAAAACACAGCACUGUGCAAACACGAAAGUGGACGUAUACGGUGUGACGCCUGCCCGGUGCCGGAAGGUUAAUUGAUGGGGUCAGCGCAAGCGAAGCUCCUGAUCGAAGCCCCGGUAAACGGCGGCCGUAACUAUAACGGUCCUAAGGUAGCGAAAUUCCUUGUCGGGUAAGUUCCGACCUGCACGAAUGGCGUAAUGAUGGCCAGGCUGUCUCCACCCGAGACUCAGUGAAAUUGAACUCGCUGUGAAGAUGCAGUGUACCCGCGGCAAGACGGAAAGACCCCGUGAACCUUUACUAUAGCUUGACACUGAACAUUGAGCCUUGAUGUGUAGGAUAGGUGGGAGGCUUUGAAGCGUGGACGCCAGUCUGCGUGGAGCCGACCUUGAAAUACCACCCUUUAAUGUUUGAUGUUCUAACGUGGACCCGUAAUCCGGGUUGCGGACAGUGUCUGGUGGGUAGUUUGACUGGGGCGGUCUCCUCCUAAAGAGUAACGGAGGAGCACGAAGGUUGGCUAAUCCUGGUCGGACAUCAGGAGGUUAGUGCAAUGGCAUAAGCCAGCUUGACUGCGAGCGUGACGGCGCGAGCAGGUGCGAAAGCAGGUCAUAGUGAUCCGGUGGUUCUGAAUGGAAGGGCCAUCGCUCAACGGAUAAAAGGUACUCCGGGGAUAACAGGCUGAUACCGCCCAAGAGUUCAUAUCGACGGCGGUGUUUGGCACCUCGAUGUCGGCUCAUCACAUCCUGGGGCUGAAGUAGGUCCCAAGGGUAUGGCUGUUCGCCAUUUAAAGUGGUACGCGAGCUGGGUUUAGAACGUCGUGAGACAGUUCGGUCCCUAUCUGCCGUGGGCGCUGGAGAACUGAGGGGGGCUGCUCCUAGUACGAGAGGACCGGAGUGGACGCAUCACUGGUGUUCGGGUUGUCAUGCCAAUGGCACUGCCCGGUAGCUAAAUGCGGAAGAGAUAAGUGCUGAAAGCAUCUAAGCACGAAACUUGCCCCGAGAUGAGUUCUCCCUGAGACUUCGAUUUU